rnacentral:rRNA from 1 species
AUGGCGAGCUCGUACGGGGCCGGGAAGGACAAGGAGGCGCGAAUCAACGGCGACAAUCGGCGGCAGAGGUUGAAGAAGGCGGUCGAUCCCGGGGGCUUGGAGGCGUCCUCGCUUGAGCUGGGGCUUACAAACGACAUGGUCGACAACGGGGAAGCGGACGAGCAAGUUCCUAGGGCGCGGGGAGCUCGGUGUGGGCAAAGACGACGAAAACCAUGGCGGCGGUGA